rnacentral:rRNA from 1 species
AAAUGCCUCGUCAUCUAAUUAGUGACGCGCAUGAAUGGAUUAAUGAGAUUCCCACUGUCCCUAUCUGCCAUCUAGCGAACCCACAGCCAAGGGAACGGGCUUGGAAUAAUCAGCGGGGAAAGAAGACCCUGUUGAGCUUGACUCUAGUCCGACUUUGUGAAAUGACUUUCGAGAUAUAGCCUAGGAGGGAGCUAACGCGCCGCUGUAAAACCUCUGCUCGCUUAGCCAUUUUACUUACUCCGUGAAGAAGUGACCAACUCGUUGGUUCUUAGAUUUUAAGCACCUAUAUCUUAGGUGCGAGCUUUGCGGAGGACAUGGUCAGGUGGGGAGUUUGACUGGGGCGGUACAUCUGUUAAAACAAUAACGCAGGUGUCCUACGGUGAGCUCAAAGAGAACAGAAAUCUCUUGUAGACCAAAAGGGG